rnacentral:tRNA from 1 species
GCGGACGUGGCGCAGCAGGCAGCGCGCAACGUUGCCAACGUCGAGGCCACGGGUUCGAUCCCCGUCGUCCGCU